UACGUAGGGGGCGAGCGUUGUCCGAAGUUACUGGGCGUAAAGCGCGCGUAGGCGGGUUGGCAAGUCUGCUGUGAAAGCCCGGGGCUUAACUCCGGAGGGCCGGUGGAUACUGCCAGUCUUGAAGGUGCUAGGGAGAGAUGGAAUUACCGGUGUAGCGGUGAAAUGCGUAGAUAUCGGUAGGAACACCAGUGGCGAAGGCGGUCUCUUGGGGCAUUCUUGACGCUGAGGCGCGAAAGCUGGGGGAGCGAACGGG
rnacentral:rRNA from 1 species